UUCUAUAUUUAGGAGCUAGUCUUUUCUUGAUCUUAUCACAUAGCUGAUCAUGGUCAGAGUCAUUGAAGACUGAGAGAGGAUUUUAUGUUAUACUAUAUGCAUGGCAUAUUUUAAAAAUUAAAAUUAUGUUGGUAUACGUAUCUAUUAUUGUCAAUUGUUAUAUUUCAAAAAAAUUUAAUUAUGCUUGCUUGAUCUCUUAGAGGUAUUGAUAACUUAUUGAGCCUGUAAAGCUCAUUUUUUUUUAUAUAUUUUUUUAGAUUUAGAAGAUACUAUGGAGCUUGGGACC
rnacentral:lncRNA from 1 species